rnacentral:rRNA from 1 species
UCGAGAAUCUUCCACAAUGGACGAAAGUCUGAUGGAGCGACGCCGCGUGAGUGAUGAAGGCCCUACGGGUUGUAAAACUCUGUCAGGAGAGAAGAAUCGCCGGGGUGCCAAUACCACCCUGGUCUGACGUUAUCUCCAGAGGAAGCUCCGGCUAACUCCGUGCCAGCAGCCGCGGUAAUACGGGGGGAGCAAGCGUUUUCCGGAAUUAUUGGGCGUAAAGGGCGUGUAGGCGGCCUGGUCAGUCGAAGGUGAAAUCCCACGGCUCAACCGUGGAGCUGCGUUCGAUACUGCCUGGCUUGAGUAUGUGAGAGGUGUGCGGAAUUCCUGGUGUAGCGGUGGAAUGCGUAGAUAUCAGGAAGAACACCGAUGGCGAAGGCAGCACAAUGGCGCAAUACUGACGCUGAGGCGCGAAAGCGUGGGGAGCAAACAG